ACUGAACGCUGGCGGCAGGCUUAACACAUGCAAGUCGAGCGGGGUGAUGGUGCUUGCACUAUCACUUAGCGGCGGACGGGUGAGUAAUGCUUAGGAAUCUGCCUAUUAGUGGGGGACAACAUUUCGAAAGGAAUGCUAAUACCGCAUACGUCCUACGGGAGAAAGCAGGGGAUCUUCGGACCUUGCGCUAAUAGAUGAGCCUAAGUCGGAUUAGCUAGUUGGUGGGGUAAAGGCCUACCAAGGCGACGAUCUGUAGCGGGUCUGAGAGGAGGAUCCGCCACACUGGGACUGAGACACGGCCCAGACUCCUACGGGAGGCAGCAGUGGGGAAUAUUGGACAAUGGGGGGAACCCUGAUCCAGCCAUGCCGCGUGUGUGAAGAAGGCCUUAUGGUUGUAAAGCACUUUAAGCGAGGAGGAGGCUCUUUUGGUUAAUACCCAAGAUGAGUGGACGUUACUCGCAGAAUAAGCACCGGCUAACUCUGUGCCAGCAGCCGCCGUAA
rnacentral:rRNA from 1 species